AGUGAACGCUGGCGGUAGGCCUAACACAUGCAAGUCGAACGGCAGCACAGUAAGAGCUUGCUCUUACGGGUGGCGAGUGGCGGACGGGUGAGGAAUACAUCGGAAUCUACUUUUUCGUGGGGGAUAACGUAGGGAAACUUACGCUAAUACCGCAUACGACCUACGGGUGAAAGCAGGGGAUCUUCGGACCUUGCGCGAUUGAAUGAGCCGAUGUCGGAUUAGCUAGUUGGCGGGGUAAAGGCCCACCAAGGCGACGAUCCGUAGCUGGUCUGAGAGGAUGAUCAGCAACACUGGAACUGAGACACGGUCAAGAGUCCUACGGGAGGCAGCAGUGGGGAAUAUUGGACAAUGGGGGCAAGCAUGAUCCAGCAAUACCGCGUGGGUGAAGAAGGACUUCGGGUUGUAAAGCCCUUUUGUUGGGAAAGAAAAGCAGCAGGUUAAUACCCCGCUGUUCUGACGGUACCCAAAGAAUAAGCACCGGCUAACUUCGUG
rnacentral:rRNA from 1 species